rnacentral:lncRNA from 1 species
AUCGUAUGGACCUCUAGAAAUCUCGCGAUUUUACGGUGGCGCACCUUGAAGUAACGCAUUUUUCACGCAGGUUAUCAGCGGCAUAUGCAUUUGCAUUUUUAUCAAAAUAGUCCCAUUGACUUAUCGUAUGUCGUUUAUUGGCCAAACCUGACGUGUGAAGUAAUGGAUGGACUAUAUUACUCAGACACAGCAGUGUGCUGUAAAGCUCUCUGUGGUGUGAUUGCAGCAUUGUUUCCUCAAAGCCAUGCCCAGCGCCGGACGAUUUUCUCUCACCUUGCAGGAGAAUAUUGUGCUUUAAAACCCAGCAGCAAGCUCCAUCUGUCUAUCUUCUUACCCUGGUGAACUGCAGUGAAUGUCAGUCAUUAGCAUAUCAGGCCUUGAAUGCUAUUGAGUUUUUGGAGCUGCUCAGCUUCCCUGAGGUUAUAGCUACUCAUCACCCGAUUGGAUGGAACCGGAUCCAGAGUUAACAGAGCUUUGUGAGUUGAACUCUUUAGUUCACACCUCUGUGAGGUGUAUGGAUACACACACUCAUUCCCUCAGUUGUUUCCUCUAAUGAUGUCCCUAGGCACAUGUGCAUGGAUGUACAGUGAUGUUUGCUAGUAUGCAGUCAUGUGAAAUCAUAAUACUAUAUGCUCAUAUAGCUUAGGACUUUGUGUGUGUGUGUGUGUGCGCCUGAGGUUUUUAUGAUAUUAUGCUCACUUGAAAUCAGAUCUCACAUUCUUGUCCACACUGUCAUUGAGGUUUGAGUGAUAUGGACAUAUACAGUAUAUGCAUCUGACCUUUCAGUCUAUUAUAAGAAGAAUGCAAUUCAUCCCUCAAAAGGAACAGUGUGUGCUUAUUGCUUCUCAUGAAUUUACAAAUGGCUACAUUUAAUGUUUUCAUUCUAGACAUUCAUAAACAGUUUAGACCCA